rnacentral:lncRNA from 1 species
GAGUCAGUUGCUAGAGAAUGUGUUUGCUGAUCCCAAAGGGUUUGGAAUAGGACCCGAUGGAAGGUACAGAUGUGAGGAUCCCAAGUUUACUCAAGGCACUGCUCAAGUCUGAAGAAAAAAACUACUUAACCUGUGUUCUGUUCUGUCUUUGGUUUCUGUUUAAUGUUUUUUUUUACUUGUCAUUAAGUUAAAAUGCUACAAAAAAACACAGUUUGGAUCGUUUGAAUUAUUUUUUCUUUCAGUUGGAAAUUUGCUAAAUUACAGAAAAUGUUCGUCAAAACAUUCUGAAUAACAAAACGACUAAGCUAAAGAGAGGCUUUCAUGUAGCGGGUUAAAUGACCCGACCCGGUUUAUCCUCUUAAAUUUUCUAUAUUUCUUAUUUAUUUAUUUUUAGUUUUCGUCACAAAUUAUUUACUUUUAAUGGCGGAGAAACGUAACGUUACUGACCUCAUCAUGAACGUUGGUGCUGGUGGCGGAGGUGGUGCCCCAGUUUCAGCUGCUGCCCCAGCUGCCGGUGGUGGUGCUGCAGCUCAAGAUGUUCGGUUUUGUCCACUUGUACAACGGCCAAGAAGCCGUCUCCACCGGCUUCAUCAAGCUCCUCACUCAGUCUGAUUCAGUCGUCAGCACGUACCGUGACCACGUCCACGCCCUCAGCAAAGGCGUCUCUGCUCGUGCCGUCAUGAGCGAGCUCUUCGGGAAAGUCACGGGAUGCUGCAGAGGCCAAGGUGGGUCCAUGCACAUGUUCUCCAAAGAGCACAACAUGCUCGGUGGGUUCGCUUUUAUCGGAGAAGGCAUCCCUGUCGCCACCGGUGCUGCGUUCACCUCAAAGUACAAGAGGGAAGUCUUGAAACAGGACUGUGAAGACGUCACAGUUGCGUUUUUCGGAGACGGGACUUGUAACAACGGGCAGUUCUACGAGUGUCUCAACAUGGCUGCGCUUUAUAAGUUGCCUAUUAUCUUCGUCGUGGAGAAUAACUUGUGGGCUAUUGGGAUGUCUCACUUGAGAUCUACUUCUGAUCCUGAGAUAUGGAAGAAAGGUCCUGCGUUUGGGAUGCCGGGUGUUCAUGUUGACGGUAUGGAUGUGCUGAAGGUGAGGGAAGUGGCUAAAGAGGCGGUGACGAGAGCUAGAAGAGGAGAAGGUCCGACGUUGGUGGAAUGUGAGACUUACAGGUUCAGAGGACACUCCUUGGCUGAUCCUGAUGAGCUCCGUGACGCUGGUAUAUAUAUAUUGAAACUUAAAACCUUAUAUUAUGAAUCUUUCAUUAAUUUGAAUUUAUUUUGGGCAGCUGAGAAAGCCAAGUACGCGGCUAGAGACCCGAUCACAGCGUUGAAGAAGUAUUUGGUAGAGAACAAGCUAGCGAGUGAAGGGGAGCUUAAGACGAUAGAGAAGAAGAUAGACGAGUUGGUGGAGGAAGCGGUUGAGUUUGCAGACGCGAGUCCGCAGCCAGGUCGGAGUCAGUUGCUAGAGAAUGUGUUUGCUGAUCCCAAAGGGUUUGGAAUAGGACCCGAUGGAAGGUACAGAUGUGAGGAUCCCAAGUUUACUCAAGGCACUGCUCAAGUCUGAAGAAAAAAACUACUUAACCUGUGUUCUGUUCUGUCUUUGGUUUCUGUUUAAUGUUUUUUUUUACUUGUCAUUAAGUUAAAAUGCUACAAAAAAACACAGUUUGGAUCGUUUGAAUUAUUUUUUCUUUCAGUUGGAAAUUUG